ensembl:lncRNA
CUAACUGCCUACAAGAUACCUAAUUAACUUAGCUGCUACAGUGAUAGCUGAGUUAUUUGUUAUAGCUGAGAGAGUGGGAGCAGCCCAAAUGUGUCUCCAGUGAAUGGGGAGAGCGGCCCCUCCAUGCGGCAGCUUAUAGGUGGUGUUUAAAGCCAUGAAAAUACACAGGCUUUGUUGACAAGAAAGGGUUGAACAGAGCAUCCUGGGCAACAUCACAGAUUUUUAUCAGAAAGGGAAAAUAAGUGGUGCCCCAUGUCUGUGAUCCUGGCACUCAGGAGGCUGAGGCAGGAAGAUCACUGCAAGUCCAAGACCAGCCUGGGCUACAUAGUGAGUUCAGGCCAGUCUGAAUUACAUAGUGAAUUUACAAAAAAACAACAAAAAAUGGAACAUAAGUCUGAAAGCCUCAAACCUAACUGUAUCCUAGAACAAAACUCAAGGAUACUUAUAAGGAUACCAAAAAAUAGCAUCUAAGGUAAGAGUCACCAUGUCUGCCAUCCAAUAAAAAAAACUAUCAGGCAUGAAAAAGGCAAGAAAUAUAUGAUCACAAAAUUGACUCUGAAGUCACAUCCAUAAAAUAAUUAGUAGACAAGAACAGAAAAGCAGUUACCGUCAUUUAUUGCAUAGACUCACAAAGCUGGAGGAGAGGUGUACCUGGUAAUAGCACGGGAGACCAGCUGUAGAGGUGACAGCUACCAUGUCACAAGGGAAAUGCACUCUGUGGGAUUAAUGCUGCACUGAACACUACAGAAAACUGAACUCACCCGAAGCAACAGAAAUCAUCUGAAGCCAGGUGUGGUGGAACACGCCUGUGAUCCUAGAACUUGGGAGGCUGAGGCAGGAGGAUCACCAUGAGUUCAAGACCUGCCUGGGCAACGUAGUGUAUUCAAGAGCAGCCUUAACUACAUAGCGAAACCCUGUCUUUAAAAAGUUAAAGUGAGUAACAUGACAGAGAAAAACUGAAAGCCCAUCAGUUAUUUUGAGUCAAAUUCAGAAGGCCUGAUAGCCCUGUAACUGGAGUUCCCAUGGGGGAAUGAAGGCUAGAAAAGCUGGCUGGAGAAGUGAUGUUGAAACAUUUCAGAAUGUGGUAGAAACUGCACACACUGGUCCAAGAAAUUCAGUGGGCCCCCACGUGAGAAACAAUGGUGAGCCGGGUGUGGUUGGCCAUGCCUGUGAUCCCAGCAUUUGGGAGGCUGAGGCAGGAGCAUCGAACACCUAAAUAAAUGGAGAGAGAAACUAUGUGCAAGAUCAGAAGAUCCAGUGUUAAGAUGUUGGCUUUCCUGGAAUGAUCUAGAGAUUCUACAUCAGGGCUAGAGCCAGUCCUGGCUGGCUCCUUUUUUUUUUUUUUUUUUUUGGUAGAAAUCAGCAAGGAGAUUCUAAAAUUCAUAUGGAAAUAACCCAAAUAACUUUGAAAAAGAUCCACGUUGGAGGGCCUACACACGGGAGUUGAAGACCUGUGCACAGCAGGCAUGUGACCUGUGGCACAUAACCAUGGGAACAAGUUUUAAGUCUGGUGUGGAGAGUUUGAGGCCAGCUAGAGUGACACUGAAAGCGACCCACCUCUGUAUCUCAAAAAUAGUUUUAAUUUUAAAUUCAGUCUCUUUCAUGUCUGGCUUGGGAACAGCUGGAUUCUCAUGGUGAAGUUCUUGUGAGAGGUUGCUGUGAAGUGUGUGAAGAAAAUCCAGCUUCACCACAUAAUUGCAGGCGAGAGGCUGGGUUUUUUUGUUUUUGUUUUUUUUUGGUACCAGGAUCGGAACUUGGGUCUUUGUGCUUUCGCAGCAGGCGGCGAAACCACUGAGCUAAAUCCCCCGGCCCUGAGAGGGCUGUUUCAAUAGGCUUUUGAAGAGCUGUGGAUAUCCUGCUGGGCAUGGUGGCCCACGCCUGUCGUCUUAGCACUCUGGGAAGUGGAGGGAGGAGGACUGAAACUUUGAGCCCAGCCUGGGCAGUUUGGCAACUUAGCUAAGACCCUGUCUCAGUGUGAAGGUCCUGGGCUCAUUCUCCAAGUGUGGAUCGUGGAUAUCACGAAAAAUUUGAAAAGACGAAAUCAGCGGCUCCGAUCUUCGAAAGCGACUACCAGCCGGAGCAGCUGACCGUGGAGGUCGAGAUCCAGCUGGGCCAGGUCCGCUCGGUGGAGGAGGCGCUGCGCGCUGUCGCCAACCAGGCGCGGGCAGAGUAAAGCGGUGCGAGGAUCCGAGCCCGAGUCUGAGCGUGUCGCGGGUGGGGACCGGGAACCAGGACUGGGCCAGGGGAGGCGCGGGCCGCUGGGUGCAGGGGAGAAGCCCGCCCCUGUGCGCUUCCGGCUGCGAGCAACACCGGGUCCUAGGCGGGCGUCCGCUCGGGUCCACGGGCCCCGUCACGGUUCAUAGGCGCGAGGGCCUGGGCGCCUGAUCACCCUCACGGGGAGGGACGCAGCCUGCGCCCUGCCCUCCGCGCCGCAUCCUGGCUCCACUGCUCCCCCUCUGCCCCCGACGCUGGCCCUUUCCCGCCUUGUAGCCGUCACGAGUUGGGUCCCUGUCACCCAGGAGUGAGCGCCGCCCCUCAGGACUCGGGGUCACCAGGUCUGCAAGCCCCUGAGGGUCGUCUGGGCACGGGGAGGCUGUGCCAGGCCCGGGAACCGCAGCCGGGGUGGGAUCCCCGAGGCCGCCCAGGCCGAACCCCGCCCUGCCCCCCACCCCAGCCCCCCGCCUCCGCCCUCCGCCCGGGCCGGCGGUGCCAGGGACGUCUCUUACUGGGCUCUGCCAACCCCGGGGCUCCCGCUCCUCGAGCUCCGGCUCAGCUCGGGGAGGAGCUGUCCCCGCGCCUGGCCCCCUCCCCGGAUUUGCAGCUCUGGUUUAACGUCCCCUUCUCUGCCGCCUUCUCCCCCAGCCGCCUUUUCUCCCUGGCACAUUGGCUGGCAUGCGUUUCGGGUGGGUCCUGUCUCCAGUGGUCCCCAGCACAGUGUCGCAGGUGGAGCGAGGGGGGGCGGGGAGCAGCGAGAAAGGACCAGGUGGGAAACAAAACCCCAGGGACUGGAGGCGGGUCACUGCCCGGUGCCAUUUCCUCAUCCUCUUCGGUCGGGUCCGUGGGGGUUGUCGCAGGAAAUCAGAACUCAUUUCGUGGCCAGGCUGCCUUGCAGCCGAAGUCCCCGGUGCCAGCUUUCUAGUGCCGUCAGACUGUGAGAUUUUGUCCCAGACCCUGGUGUAGCGCUAGGAAACCCAGACCAGUUGGGGCGGCCACCUGCGGCCUGGGUGUAGCUGCCGCUCCCUGGAGGCGGGGAGCUGCCACAGAGGCAGCCAGGCAGUGCAGGGCGCAGGGCCUGGCCCAGGGGAGGAGAGCCGUGGUUUGAUUAGACCCGAAGCGCUCUGAGUGUCGGCUACUGUGUCAGUGGAUUUGAGCCAAAGAUGCACCAAAUCUGCCACUUUUCACCAAGAUUCCAAAGGUGCUUGAGUUCUGGGAAGGGCUCUGAACGUUUACAGGACCCUGCCGGUCAUCUGGGAGGACGGAUUCGAGCCUCCCAGCGAUGAAGUC